AGAAUCAACGCUGGCGGCGUGCCUAACACAUGCAAGUCGAACGAGAAAGUGGAGCAAUCCAUGAGUAAAGUGGCGCACGGGUGAGUAACACGUGACUAACCUACCCUUGAGUGGGGAAUAACCUCGGGAAACCGGGGCUAAUACCGCAUAACACCUACGGGUCAAAGGAGCAAUUCGCUUAAGGAGGGGGUCGCGGCAGAUUAGUUAGUUGGCGGGGUAAUGGCCCACCAAGACGGUGAUCUGUAUCCGGCCUGAGAGGGCGCACGGACACACUGGAACUGAAACACGGUCCAGACUCCUACGGGAGGCAGCAGUGGGGAAUUUUGCGCAAUGGGGGAAACCCUGACGCAGCAACGCCGCGUGGAGGAUGAAGUCCCUUGGGACGUAAACUCCUUUCGAUCGGGACGAUUAUGACGGUACCGGAAGAAGAAGCCCCGGCUAACUUCGCGCCAGCAGCCGC
rnacentral:rRNA from 1 species